rnacentral:rRNA from 1 species
UACGAAGGGUGCAAGCGUUACUCGGAAUUACUGGGCGUAAAGCGUGCGUAGGUGGUUUGUUAAGUCUGUUGUGAAAGCCCCGGGCUCAACCUGGGAAUGGCAAUGGAUACUGGCAAGCUAGAGUGCGGUAGAGGGUAGUGGAAUUCCCGGUGUAGCGGUGAAAUGCGUAGAGAUCGGGAGGAACACCAGUGGCGAAGGCGGCUACCUGGACCAGCACUGACACUGAGGCACGAAGCGUGGGUAGCAAACAGG